GGAUUAGAUACCCUGGUAGUCCACGCCGUAAACGAUGGUCACUAGCUGUUUGACUAACAUUGGUUAGUUGAGUGGCUAAGCGAAAGUGAUAAGUGACCCACCUGGGGAGUACGUUCGCAAGAAUGAAACUCAAAGGAAUUGACGGGGGCCCGCACAAGCGGUGGAGCAUGUGGUUUAAUUCGAUGAUACGCGAGGAACCUUACCAGGGCUUAAAUGUUAGGUGACAGAUCUAGAAAUAGAUUUUUCUUCGGACACUUAACAAGGUGCUGCAUGGUUGUCGUCAGCUCGUGUUG
rnacentral:rRNA from 1 species